rnacentral:rRNA from 1 species
AUUGAACGCUGGCGGCAGGCCUAACACAUGCAAGUCGAGCGGGGUUUUCGGACCUAGCGGCGGACGGGUGAGUAAUGCGUAGGAAGCUACCCGAUAGAGGGGGAUACCAGUUGGAAACGACUGUUAAUACCGCAUAAUGUCUACGGACCAAAGUGUGGGACCUUCGGGCCACAUGCUAUCGGAUGCGCCUACGUGGGAUUAGCUAGUUGGUGAGGUAAUGGCUCACCAAGGCGACGAUCCCUAGCUGGUCUGAGAGGAUGAUCAGCCACACUGGAACUGAGACACGGUCCAGACUCCUACGGGAGGCAGCAGUGGGGAAUAUUGGACAAUGGGCGCAAGCCUGAUCCAGCCAUGCCGCGUGUGUGAAGGAGGCCUUCGGGUUGUAAAGCACUUUCAGUAGGGAGGAAGCGUUGUGUGUUAAUAGUACACAGCGUUGACGUUACCUACAGAAGAAGCACCGGCUAACUCUGUGCCAGCCGCCGCGGUAACAC